CCUACGGGAGGCAGCAGUGAGGAAUAUUGGUCAAUGGCCGGAAGGCUGAACCAGCCAUGCCGCGUGAAGGUCAGUGCCCUAUGGGCGUUAAACUUCUUUUGUGCGGGAGCAAUAAUGGUCACGUGUGGCCAGACGAGAGUACCGUACGAAUAAACAUCGGCUAACUCCGUGCCAGCAGCCGCGGUAAUACGGGGGAUGCAAGCGUUAUCCGGAUUUAUUGGGUUUAAAGGGUGGGGAGGAUGGGAGGUAAGUUAGCGUGGAAAUGCCCCCGCUCAACGGGGUGAAGUGCCAUUGAUACUGCCAUGCUGGAGUGCAGAUGCCGUGGGAGGAAUGUGUGGUGUAGCGGUGAAAUGCAUAGAUAUCACGCAGAACACCGAUUGCGAAGGCAUCUCACGAAUCCGCGAUUGACGCUGAUGCACGAAAGCGUGGGUAUCAAACAGGAUUAGAUACCCGAGUAGUC
rnacentral:rRNA from 1 species